CAUUGUCAAUCUUUACUUGCAGGUGUUGUGGAGGAAAGACAAAGCAUUUUUUUGGUCUGAAUACUGCUUCAAAAAAAUGGAACCUUUGAACUCAUUCCUUGCAUAGAGCAAAUAGUCUGAACCCAGCACACAGAUGCUCUGAACCAAUAAAAGAAAUAGGAGAGAAAUAAAGAAUCUGGCCUAAUUUUUAUACCCAUUUUGAGUUUAAAGUCCAUGAUCGGAUGAUUAAAAGAGGCUGAUUUAGAGAUAAUGUGCUGAUUGUAUAAUCUCACGAAGGAUACACCAUGUAGAGAUGGGACAGACUGCAAUGUUCAUAAUGUGAUACAUACAUACAUACAUAUCGCUAUUUAUAGAGUGCCUAAUUUACCAUUGCUCAAAGUGCUUAUGUGCUCAUAUGGGGGAAAUCAGGCUUCAGUAAAUUAAGGGUAUCUUGCAUGUCACUGGUUUGAAAUUGAAAUAAAAAGUACUUAAAAAAAAAAGGAAAAAAAGAAUCAGUAUUACUCUAAUUUGUGUGAAGAAGCUUGAAUUUCAGAUUCUAUAAUUUUAAAAUAAUGUACACAUAUCAAUGGCUUAAAAUGGAUAUGAUGGUUGUAUGUACUCAUCCAGAGUAUAUAUUUUUGGGGCUUACUGCAUGUACUUUCACUGGCCUUUUAAUCCACACAUAACAUGCCUUCAUUCAAUCACCUAGCCAUGUUGAAUUGUGAAUUGUUCCGCUGAGUCUCAAUGAACGACGGUGGGUGCCAAGAUUCACACCCUGAGAUAUGUCACAUAGGUUCAUGUUCAAAGCCAAACCUGGUUUGUUCUUCUCACAUAAUAUAUAUAUAUAUCCUUCACCCGUUAACCUUGAUCUCUCAGGAGACAUGUCUGUGUGAACACACCUCUCCGUGUGAACACAGUGUGAACACACCUCUGGCAUCAUUUCAUACAGUGUCAAGCAUGUCAUGCUACGGUACUUUGACUGGGCAUGAAGUAUUUGAAACAUUGAAAAAUCCAUUGAGGCUUGACGGUUGUGUAUUCUGUGUGUUCAAAGAUCGUUUGUGUAUGUGUGUAGAGAAAGGAUGAGUGCACUCUAGGCAUGGUGUAAGGGGGUGGAACCGUAGAUUUGGGGGUAACAUCCAUUACCCAUGCCACUGUGGUUUGUACCUAUCGUUGUUUUGUACCGGCCAGCGCCAGCUGUAUGAUUGUCUCGGUAGACAGCUGAGAACCGCAGAUCAAUGAAUGAACUUCAUAAUACAGCAAUGAAUGAAUGGGAUAAUCAUCAUUGGAUAUAGCUGACACUGGUCUCUAUGCUCUCCUAACUGUCAAAGUGGAAGAUAAAAUUGGCAGAUUCUUCUUUGCUUCGGAUACUUGCGCCAGUAUUAACAACUUGAUAUCAUGAUUUCAAACUUUUCUUCAGAAAAUCAGUUGGUGGUUUAUAUAUUUGGCCUUGCUCGGUGAUUAUUAGUGCAAUACAAUAUCAUUCUAUUUACAGUUGUUUAUUGCGAUUGGAGGUUGUUGAUGUCGGCUAGCUCCUUGAAGUAUGGUUUUCAUGUUGAGUUUCCUUGUUAACAUUGAGUUCAUUGAUCUAUAGUCUGGAUUCAACACAUCUUGUCAUGAACAAUUAUCUAUAUUGGCUUUAGUUAUGAUGUUUGUACCUCAGUGAUACCCUGCAUAGAUCACAUUCUGUGGAUUAAGAAUUAUUGGAUUAAUUAACACUUUUUGAUCACUGUGAUAUCAUGAUGAAGUCACAUAGACGUCGCUCUUAUUCUCCAAGGGAUGCAGCGUUGAGAACGAUGCCUCGGCCUAGGACGCAGUGGUAUGUGGACUUGUAAGUAUCCAUCACUUUCCUUUCUACCUCUCAUAUUAUGUUUGCACUGUAAAUUCUGCUCAUUUUGGUGUUGUGCAUCCGUCAUCAGUACCGGUAUCAUUUGGAAAAAUGUUCAAAAUGGUUGUGACGUACAGCUGAGAGGUGGUACAAGUUUGGUUUUGUAACUGAUAUCAGGUAUCGGUUACGGUAAUCCUGCUUGAAAUACCAAACCUGUCAUUUAUGAGAUAUAUGGAACAUUUAAAAACAGAUCCCAGAUAUAAUACUCAUAUACUAUCAUAGUUCAUAUCAUAAUUCUAUCAAGUUCCUCCUUUGUGAUCUUAUAUCAACAUUGGUUUUGAUGUCAGCUGACUUUUUCAAAAAAUCAGGGAAAAUUGCAUUAUUCUCUGACUCAAGACAUUUCUUUGUUUAUUUAACUAAUUGUUUAAUGUAAAUAGCUAUUUGAUUUAGUUUUGAAGUGCUUUCAAAACUAAGGAACAAAAAUUGAUGCA
rnacentral:lncRNA from 1 species